CUUUCAGGGGCUGGACUUUACGCUGCUCUCCUCACUUGGCCGGUUUGACUCGCAGGGUUUAAAGUGAGCACACCUACCAGCUCUCCAUUGUUGAGUGUGACUGACCAGCUGAUCAUAACGACUACACACUGCAGAUGCUCUCCUGCCUAUGCCUGGAGUAGACAGGAGAUAUUGGAUCUCCCGAGUCGUGGGCCUGCAGGGAGAAAAGGCUGUGCAGGCACAGCUCAAAGCCAGCCAUAGAAACAUCAAUGUCUAUGAGCAGAUAGCAUGGAGGAUACAGGAGAAGGGCUAUGACAGGAACCAGCAGUAGUGUCAUGUGAAAGCCAAGCAGCUGUGGCAGGCAUACCAGAGAGGCCAACAGUUGACCCAGUGUUCAGCCUCAGACCUGCCGCUCUUACAAAGGGCUGUAUACCAUACUGGGCAGAGACCCCACCACCACCCACCACAGCACCAUGGAUACAUCCAAGGUGCCUGAGUCACAAGUUCCUGCGGUGAACAGCAAGGAGGAGGAGGAGUAUGGCGGACAAGUGACCAGGGGAAUCCAGCUGCUCAGUGAGCCAGGACCUAUUUUUUGAAUCCACCGCAGUCCAGCAAGGACGAGCCCAAUGCAGGUGAAGGAACCUCAGCUGCUGCAUUGCAGCCUUGAGGGUCUCCCUCUCCAUGCCUGCAGAAUGCCUGAGUCAGAUAAGGAGGGAAAAGAAGACUCAAGAUAACAUGUUCAGUGAGACCUGUUAGCCAGUGCCGCAUCAGACUGAGAGCACAGGACUAGGAGAGUAAACAUUGCGGACAGCCUGGAAAGCGAAAGAGCGGAGAGGAGAAAGGCCGAGGAGUCCCAAGCAGAGGACCAGACAGGAGAAGCUGGGGGGAGGAGUCGGCAUUUGGGCAAUGGAUCAGACUCUACAAUGGUUGGUGGAGCAACAAAAAGAGAUGCAGAAGACCAUGCAUUCGUUCCAGGAAUCCCAUCAGAUGGAAUGACAGUCCCUCCUUGCAUGAAAGGCCAAGCAGCAGAAGAGCCUUCAAAAGUUCAUAAAAGAACAGGAACAGAUGCAGCAGCAACCAAUACAAGGUCUCGUAAAUCGUCCAACAGAGAAUAGCAGUAGGACACAGAGGCUGAGCCUGUGUCAGAUGGGCCAGCAGAUGAUGUAUUUUUACUAACUUUUGUGAGGGUAGCAAUGGGAGUUAGAUGGGAUAAGAUAUCAUGGACCCUCUGAAUGGCACUCUAUGUCUCAGGGGAAGCCCAGGCAGCCUACAUGGUCUGAGUGAAGAACAGGCCAAGGACUACUAUGGGAUAAAGGUGGCCAUUCUGACAGGAUUGACUUUUCAGUCAGAAGUUUUGGGCUACUAGAUGAAUAAGGGGCAUGCAACCCAGGGCAUUUGCGCAAAACUUAACAGACUGGGCAACUCGCUGGCUAAGAAUAGACACACGAAGUGCAGGGUUAAAAAUAGAUAUGAUGAUAAUGGAGCAAUUUCUCCGGAGCCUCCCUGAAAGUGCACGUGUUUCGGUCCUGAGGCACCAAGCAACUACCCUAAAGGAAGCUAUAGAGGUUGCAGAAGAGUUUGUGGAUGCAGACUUUCCCAGGAAAGAAUUCCAGCUGCUUCAGGGACCAUACCUGGGGAAUAAGGCAGGCAAUUUUGACACACCUAUGACAAAUGAGAAGAAAAAGGGGGAGACGAGGGGAACUCCUUCAGGGAACCAGGGAGUAGUUUGCUGUUGGUAUGGGUGGCCGAGGCAUAUAAAGUGAGACUGCCCCAUAAGGGAAGGUGGGUUCACAGAAUUUUGUGACUAAAACUAUGAGAGACAUGCAGGAAAAGAAAACACCUCUAUCCCUGUAAAUGUGGGGAGGAGGCAUCAGAAGGAACUGGUGAACACUGGUUUAAAAUGCACACUGGUCUGGAGGUAUUUGCUGCACCCCCCAUUGGAUGCUGCCAGGUGGGAGCUGUACUAGAAUGUAUUCAUGGCAAGAAGAGACUUCCCAAUGGCAGAAAUACCCCUAGAGCAACGGUUCUCAACCUGCAGCUCACGGGCCACUUGCAGCCCAAUCAGCACAGAGCUCGGCCCAUAUGUCAUCCUCAGGGCCAUAAAGGUAGUAUUGGAUGCAGCCCACAUAACGCACUGGGCCGCAUAUAUGGCCCACGAUGGUAAA